AGCGAACGCUGGCGGCAGGCCUAACACAUGCAAGUCGAACGAAGUCUUCGGACUUAGUGGCGGACGGGUGAGUAACACGUGGGAACGUACCUUUUGGUUCGGAGCAACUCAGGGAAACUUGAGCUAAUACCGGAUGAGCCCUUAGGGGGAAAGAUUUAUCGCCGAAAGAGCGGCCCGCGUUAGAUUAGCUAGUUGGUGAGGUAAAGGCUAACCAAGGCUACGAUCUAUAGCUGGUCUGAGAGGGUGAUCAGCCACCCUGUGACUGAGACACGGCCCAGACUCCUACGGGAGGCAGCAGUGGGGAAUCUUGCGCAAUGGGCGAAAGCCUGACGCAGCCAUGCCGCGUGAAUGAUGAAGGUCUUAGGAUUGUAAAAUUCUUUUACCAGGGACAAUAAUGACGGUACCUGGAGAAAAAGCCCCGGCUAACUUCGUGCCAGCAGCCGCCGUAAGAC
rnacentral:rRNA from 1 species